GGCGUAAAGAGCUCGUAGGCGGUUUGUCGCGUCUGCUGUGAAAUUUCGAGGCUCAACCUCGAACUUGCAGUGGGUACGGGCAGGCUAGAGUGCGGUAGGGGAGAUGGGAAUUCCUGGUGUAGCGGUGGAAUGCGCAGAUAUCAGGAGGGACACCAAUGGCGAAGGCACAUCUCUGGGCCGUAACUGACGCUGAGGAGCGAAAGCGUGGGGAGCGAACAGGAUUAGAUACCCUGGUAGUCCACGCCGUAAACGGUGGGUGCUAGCUGUGGGCCACAUUCCACGUGGUCCGUGACGAAGUUAACACAUUAAGCACCCCGCCUGGGGAGUACGGCCGCAAGGCUAAAACUCAAAGGAAUUGACGGGGGCCCGCACAAGCGGCGGAGCAUGCGGAUUAAUUCGAUGCAACGCGAAGAACCUUACCAAGGCUUGACAUAUAGAGGAAAAGUGCAGAAAUGUACUCCCCGCAAGGUCUCUAUACAGGUGGUGCAUGGUUGUCGUCAGCUCGUGUCGUGAGAUGUUGGGUUAAGUCCCGCAACGAGCGCAACCCUCGUCCUAUGUUGCCAGCACGUAAUGGUGGGAACUCAUGGGAUACUGCCGGGGUCAACUCGGAGGAAGGU
rnacentral:rRNA from 1 species